GCUAAGGGAAGAAGACACGGGCUGUCGGGAGGCUGAACCUGACUUCUCUUCAUUGUGGGCUCCUAUUGGCUUUUCUGCAAAUGAAGAGGAAGGAGGGAAGAACCUUUUAGAAAGAGUCUCUUGAUAAAUAAGUGGCCAAUGGCAGGGGAAUGAUUGUCAAAUAGAGUCAUGAUCCUAAAAAGGAUAAGUGAUCACUCUAAAUGAAAUGAAGUGUUGGUUGCUGGCUUGGAGACAGCAGUGGCCAAUAGUUAAGAGGACAAAGCCAAUUAAGUGAACUCUUGAAAAAUCACCAAAACAUUGAACAGUGAAAUACUUAGAUUGAAAACACUACAAUAUUUGCUGUGGAGAAACAGAACUUUGUGGAUUUAUGAAUGGAAAUGAGAUAUAACGUUCUGGAUUCUUACAAGAGAGCAGAAAGUAUGAGCAAUGAAUUGGUUUCCGAUGUUUGCAACUGUGACCUUAAAUGACAGAACUGAGCAGGACUCAUGGUAUGCCCAGCAUCCCUUGCAUGUUGCCUGGAAAGUAUUCCUGGACCACUUGCCUUACCUCAGGAGGUUUCUUGGAAUAGAUUGGAAUUCACUGAUGCGUAUUGGAGCACUGUGAGGCUGGCUUCCGGUUAUUGUUAGGACUGACAUGGCUACAGAAUUUCUCCAAACCUCACAUCUGCAAACUGCAGGGUGUGCAAUACCUUGUACUUGGUGUCCUUAAGUGAUUGGUAGUAUCUCAAUAAGCACAAGAGAGUUAGCAAAUAGGCCCAAUCUCUUCUCUCUGCAGGCUUCACAGACCCAGACUCUAAUGAACCAUGGCAGCGUCAGAAUGCAGCAGCGUUUUACAGAUAAGGGCACCUGACACAAAAAGACCAGGUAACUUGGUCAGAGUUGCAAAAAUCAUUCGAAGAGCCACAACUAAUUGUCAUGUUUUCUGACCUCCAAACCACGUGACAUGUGUUUUGACACAUAUAUUUCCAAAACAGAUUGACAAAAAUCAUUGUUUAAAUGGCUUAAUUUGAUAAUGCUGGCUGAUGCAUUGCUAUUUGAUAGAAAGUAGAUUUAGCUAUCCAAGAAACACACAGUUGACUUUCUUCCAGAUGCUGCAAGUACAUUUUUAGUAAACUAAUUUAAAAAUCAGUAACAGAAGGCCUAUGAUGAACAUUUUUUUGCUUUUUUUUUUGUCAUUUUACAUUUGACUAACCUUUUAUAACACCCAAAUGUAUGGGCAUAAUAAGUUGGUGCUGAGAGGAAAACUUUAUGAACUUCUGAGGACCAUAAAGCAGUUAGAAAAUAAGUUAAUAUUCUGAAGUGCAUUAAUUAAUACUUUUGACUACCCUGACCAGUUAAGAUCCUCAGAGACAUAUACCCCAAUUUUGAAUCCAAUUAAAAUGAUCUCCAUUACUAAAUUAACCCAUGUACAUUCAGAUCUUGAUAUAAAAUGACAUAGUCUCAAGACACCAAUUAAUUAAUCAAACAUGCAAAAAUAUGUCAAGAAAAUUAUUAAUCCUUCUAUUCUGAUGUCAGAUCUCAAAGGUUUUCAAACUUCUUGUAUAUUAGAAGUAUUAUAUACUAUGUCAAUUCUUCUUCACUUUAUUUAAAAGAUGACACUGAAAAAACAUUUCACCAUAUGUUUGUUUUAGAUGCAGUGAAAAAAUGUUCUUUUCGAAACAUAUGGUGAUGUAAUUAGGUGUCUCUGAACACAGCAAGGUUGGAAAGAGAAAUGUUUGAACGAAAUUGAAACCAUUUGCUGCUCUGGUGUCACCCCCCACCUUCCCCACCAACAUUAGUAUCUUCUCUGAGUUAUCACUGUUGUAAUAAAGAAAAAUUUUAAGCACUUGAAUAUGAGGAAUGUCUGCUGUCACCUACCAUGGUUAUAGCAGAUAGAAUUCCAGGACUGCCUCUUCUUCCCUCUCACUGUGCAAAGCUAUGUGACUCAUGCUGUCAGUACCUCUUGCUGAGGAGUUUUGGCAUUAAUCCAGCAUCAUUGACAUUUGUGUAAUGUUUUGCAGCCGGGAGUCUGCUUUUAUCUAUGGCUUAGCUACCUUUAUGCAGCCUCAUGGGAUUUAUUUCUACUAAUGGAGAGAGGCCUUGUGUUUCUUUUUCUUCAAUAAAAAUGUUUGUUUAAAAAUA